AUGAACGCUAGCGGCAGGCUUAACACAUGCAAGUCGAGGGGCAGCGGGGAGGAAGCUUGCUUUCUCCGCCGGCGACCGGCGCACGGGUGAGUAACACGUAUGCAACCUGCCCCUGUCAGGGGGACAACCCGCCGAAAGGCGGGCUAAACCCGCGUACAUGCCACCGGGGCAUCCCGGAGGCAGGAAAGGCUUCGGCCGGACAGGGAUGGGCAUGCGGCGCAUUAGGCAGUAGGCGGGGUAACGGCCCACCUAACCGACGAUGCGUAGGGGUUCUGAGAGGAAGGUCCCCCACACUGGUACUGAGACACGGACCAGACUCCUACGGGAGGCAGCAGUGAGGAAUAUUGGUCAAUGGUCGGGAGACUGAACCAGCCAAGCCGCGUGAGGGAGGAAGGUACAGAGUAUCGUAAACCUCUUUUGUCAGGGAACAAAGACUGGGACGCGUCCCCGGAUGAGUGUACCUGAAGAAAAAGCAUCGGCUAACUCCGUGCCAGCAGCCGCGGUAAUACGGAGGAUGCGAGCGUUAUCCGGAUUUAUUGGGUUUAAAGGGUGCGCAGGCGGUCUGUUAAGUCAGCGGUCAAAGCCCGGGGCUCAACCCCGGCCCGCCGUUGAAACUGGCAGUCUCGAGUUGGAGAGAAGUAUGCGGAAUGCGCGGUGUAGCCGGUGAAAUGCAUAGAUAUCGCGCAGAACUCCGAUUGCGAAGGCAGCAUGCCGGCUCCACACUGACGCUGAGGCACGAAAGCGUGGGUAUCGAACAGGAUUAGAUACCCUGGUAGUCCACGCAGUAAACGAUGAAUGCUGGCUGUCCGGGGGGACUGACCCCUGGGUGGCGAAGCGAAAGCGAUAAGCAUUCCACCUGGGGAGUACGCCGGCAACGGUGAAACUCAAAGGAAUUGACGGGGGCCCGCACAAGCGGAGGAACAUGUGGUUUAAUUCGAUGAUACGCGAGGAACCUUACCCGGGCUCAAACGGGGAGUGGCGCAGGCAGAGACGCCUGUUUCCCACGGGACACUCCCCGAGGUGCUGCAUGGUUGUCGUCAGCUCGUGCCGUGAGGUGUCGGCUUAAGUGCCAUAACGAGCGCAACCCCCGCGUGCAGUUGCUAACAGUCAACGCUGAGGACUCUGCACGGACUGCCGGCGCAAGCCGCGAGGAAGGCGGGGAUGACGUCAAAUCAGCACGGCCCUUACGUCCGGGGCGACACACGUGUUACAAUGGGUGGUACAGCGGGAAGCCAGGCGGCGACGCCGAGCGGAACCCGAAAUCCACUCUCAGUUCGGAUCGGAGUCUGCAACCCGACUCCGUGAAGCUGGAUUCGCUAGUAAUCGCGCAUCAGCCAUGGCGCGGUGA
rnacentral:rRNA from 1 species